GUGGUCCCCAGCUCCCUCCCCUGCCCCUCCCGCCCAGUGUCAGGGUCCGGCAGGCGGCAUCCAGGCGCACCGGCACCUUGGGCGCGGACAGGUGGAGGUGGCCCCAUGAGGGCACCUUGCCGCAGUCUAAGUGCUGGCGCACCUCAAGGACAGGAGCAGCCCUGAUAGAGGCAAACAGCAGGUGCAUAAAAAGUGUUGGUGAGCUAAUGAGUGGAUCUAUGGCUCGGCUUUGGUUUGCAUCUUCACAGGUCUAGCUUUGCUGGGUAGGAGGCCCCUCCUGGACCUAGGACGCAGAGUCGGGUCAGGAACCCUCAGGCCACAGCUGCCGUCUGGUGCCCAGGGUCAUGCCAACCUGAGAUUUUAAGAGUGAGGGGAUGUAAGGCAGUCCACCUUCUCUGUCUACCCUGGGCUACACUAGCCAUCAAAGUUGGCUCUCCUGGCUUCAGGAAAACUCACGGUUCCCAUGCAGCUGCCAGCCCGCCAGGUCUUGGAAGCAUUCAGGGUAGUGUUAGGUCCCUGGUCCCCUUUCUUCACGUCCUUCACCAUUUGGAGCUGCUGUUCAGAGUGGCUGAGGAGAAAGCUUGGAAGAGGAACCCUCCCGGCAGGAGCCACACAGAACCCCGUCCUGGGACCCCUACCUGCUGGCCUGCCUGUGAAGGGGACAGCUGGCGCUCUGCCCACAGCAACAAGAAAUAAGAUAAAAGCUCCCUGGCCGACGACAGGCAGACCCCCGACAGAACAGCCACGAGCGCUGGCCGGCCCGGGGCAGCGUGGGGGUGUAGCUGAAGAGGACAGUGCUGGAGCAGGAGGCCUGGGGUCAUCUGGGCAGCUGAGAAGAGUGUGAAGUACGGGAUCUCAGUCCGAUCUGCUGACCAGCGAGUUUCCCUGGACUCGGGGCCACCCCCAGGUGGAAGCCAGAGAGGAAGGAUGACCAGCGUGUGUGCCUAGGGGAGGUGGAGGGGACUUGCCAGGGACUGGGGGGAGCUGGGCGGAGACACCAGCGGCUCCUGGGCUGGGCUGUCUUCAUCCCUAAGGAGGCCUGGCUGGGGAGCCUGGGGACCAAGACCCAGCUAGCUCCAGGAGCCAUGGGUGUGCUUCACCCACAGGGGGAUGCGUGGCAGUGCGUGGCCCCGGGGGCGCCUUUAAAUCUUUAAAUACAAGAUUGUAUGGUGCAGCUUGUGAUCCCAGCAGCUCAGGAUGCUGAGGCAGGAGGAUUUCAACUUCAAGCCAGCCUCAGCAAUGUAGCAAUACCCAAAGCAACUCAGUGAGACCCUGUCUCAAAAUUUAAAAAAUUAAAAUUUUAAUGGGCUGGGAUUGUGGCUCAGAGGUAGAGCGCUUGCUUAGCACGGGCGGGACCCGGUUCGAUUCUCAGCACCACAUAAAGAAAAUAAAGGCAUUGUGUUGUGUCCAUCUCAAAAAAUAAAAAGAAAAAGAUUCUCUCUCUCCUUAAAAAUAAAUAAUAAUAAUAAUAAUAAUAAUAAUAAUAAUAAUAAUAAAAAGGUCUGGGGAUGUAGCUUAGGGGUGAAGCACCCCUGGGUUCAAUCCCCUACCAAAAAAAAAAAAUCAAGAUUGCUUCCCAGAAAGCUGCCCUCCUGGGAGUGCCCGAUCCCCACUGGGGGAGCAACGGUGUUUGUUCUGGAACGCGGGAGGUUUCCUUUACUCAGAGGACUUGAGGGUGAUUUUAAGUGCUCUGAGCCAGUGGCACAGGUCUAGAAAGUUUGCCAGGUCAGCGAAUUGGCCACCGACACCUGGAGAAGCAGGAACUUCCGUGUCCUUGGAGCAGGAGCCUAAAUGUCAAGGGGGCGGUAGCUCCUCCUCCACUUCUCCUGCCCUCCCUCGUUUUAUAUUCCAAUUCAGAGAAAGCAGCACUGCCUCUGAGUCUGGCUGAUCUUGCUUAACCUGACAGUGCCGUUGGCUGGAGCAGCCUUUAUCUCAGUAUUUUAAGUGGAGGUUGCUUCUUUAACUGAACAUUGAUACAGUAGAAAUUUGUUACAGAAAAAUGAAUUUGAUUUUAGACAUCCUAAAUCCACUUCAGAAUAAAUGCACAAGGCUGCCUCUAGCCAUUUUGGCGUUGUCCAGAGACACUUGUUAGGUCUGUUGGCGGCACCACCUCUUUCCCCUGUGGAGACCUGCGGUUCGCCCACAGCCUGAUGUGCGACUGCUGGAGAUUCCUCCUGUGCGGGGCCACUGGAGGCAGCAGCUGUCCCUCCCCAGGACCGCCCAAUGAGGCCCCCCGGGAAGAAACCGACGACCAGGUGGCUGUGUCUGAUGCCAUUGGACUUGUCCAGGAGCAGCCGGAGGAGAUGGCCACGUCCCCAGGACAGAAUCUUCCAUGGAAGUGCCUUGUGUGUGUCCCCUUCUCUUACCUUGCCCUGGGGUGUGGCCUACCCAGGUGUCAGUCAACCUGCUGACAGUGGACAUCAUGAAGAUACUCAGCCCCCUGAAACCUGACCCCUGGCCUCAUUUGAAGAGCUUCUCCUCAAUAAAAGGGGUCAGCGCGUGCUCUCGCUCUCUCUCUUCCUGCGGACCCUUCAGGUCAGAGGAGCCGUCACAGCGAC